rnacentral:tmRNA from 1 species
GGGGUUGUACUGGUUUCGACAGGGAUUUAGAAAUCCCGGCAGCCAUCCGUGGUCCGUGAUCCACGUUAAAAGUGCGGAUAAAAAUAAACGCUGAUAAUAAUAAAGCAGAAUAUGCAAUGGCUGCCUAAGGGCAGUCUGUCGGCCUGAGAGUCAUCCGCUGCUCACAGAAUCCGGCAUCAAAGAGGCGGAGAACGUUCCUCCCAAAGCUUUGCGGGUUGAAACGAAUGAUGAAGCUACCGACCGCAUGAGCCUGUCUAUGGGCGCCUGCGUGGGGGAAUCCUAAAACACAGACUAUGAUGGAAGAUACCGGUAUGGAAGAGUCUUUGGACGCGGGUUCGAUUCCCGCCAGCUCCA